UACGGAGGAGGCAAGCGUUAUCCGGAAUUAUUGGGCGUAAAGCGUCCGCAGGUGGCAAUGUAAGUCUGCUGUCAAAGCGUCUGGCUCAACCAGAUAAAGGCAGUGGAAACUACAUAGCUAGAGUAAGGUAGGGGUAGAGGGAAUUCCUGGUGUAGCGGUGAAAUGCGUAGAGAUCAGGAAGAACACCGGUGGCGAAAGCGCUCCGCUGGACCUUAACUGACACUGAGGGACGAAAGCUAGGGGAGCGAAUGGG
rnacentral:rRNA from 1 species